GGGUGCUCCACUAAAUAGGAGCGGGUGGUGAGAAUUCCCACUGAAAUAUGCACCCGCAAAAUGCAUGAGGGCCAUUAUCCAAACCCAACCUUUGCUACAUGCCUGGAGAUCAACAAAAUCAACCCCAGCAAUGACAGUGCUGCCCAACAACAAUUCAUUUGCACAAUGAAGUCCUAGCAGUCUCUAGAACGGCCCCAGGCUGUGUCCUGCACGCUCUGAUCCCAGAAUCCACAAGCACCUCCGCCCAGCCCUUCUGGAAAGAGCCUGGCUCUCAAGACAAGACAGGCUUCUGUUCACAGCCCAGCCUUGCUUAUUAGUGACCUGCCGUGGGCUCAUCUCCCUUACAGGGCGGGGUGAUGAUGAAAUGAAAAGUUCCGAGCGCAGAGGAUGGGUUCUUUAGUGGUGCUUGAGAAUUCUGCCUUGGGGUCCUGACACGUGC